ensembl:lncRNA
UGUCUAUAGGAAAUGCCAACACAUUUACAGUCUAGUUUGAUGUGUUUCCUAAUAUCCUUUCAGGUGGUAUUACUAUCAUCCAGUGAUCCACAUAACAUGAGGAUGAACCCUGCUAUUCUCCACUCAGGUGGAGAGAGAAAGAUGAUUAAACGAUAAGAUCCUGCGUUUUUGGUAAUGUAGGAAAACCAUGUCAAAUGAACGUUCAGAAGAAUAACCAAAGGCACAAUGGCAACCACUAAACAGACUGCUGUGAACUAUGUCUCAGAUCGCAGACUGGACCUUAUCAGAUUGCUCAAGGAUCUGACACUUAUUGUUGACAACCUUCAGCAGCAGAGAAUUUUCCUCAAUGAGGAAGUGGAAGUUAUUAAUAGUAAGGAGACAAGAAGUGACAAAGCCAGAGAAAUACUGGACAGAGUCGUUAAAAAGGGAGAAGCUGCAUGUUACAAGUUACUGGAGAUUCUGUACAUUACGAGACAGAGGACAUUACUGCAGCCUUCCUCUGAUUCAAAGGACAGACGGCAGCAUGACCUGUACCACUGGAUCAGCUGCUUCCCAUUCAAGGAAGACCAAGAGGUGGACACUGACAUCCUUGAAGGCUCAAUAGCCUGUCACAGAUAUCAGACACAGCUGAAAUGUAAAGCACGGAAGAUCACAGAGGGUGCAUGGAAACAAAGCUGUAGUCUCCUACCAGAGAGAUGUAGAACUGAGGGGACUUUCUCUUAUACCCCUGUUGUGUUAGAUACAGACGUGCAUUCAUCUCUCUAAAAUUAAAGUGAAGAGCAAAAGAUGCAAGAAAGCUCGGCCUAAAAAACUAAAGAGCUUCAUCCCCAUGGCCAAACAUGAAACAUCCCCUGCUGAGCUGCUUAAAACACAUGAGAAAAAAAUCCUCCUUUUUGGAAAGCCUGGAAUUGGAAAAACAACAGUCGCCCAUCAAAUGUUGAACCUCUGGGCAGAGAAAGAUCAC